AAGAAUAGAUUGAGGUUCAAGGGUAGAUGGGUUUGGGGUUUGGAAUAUAUGAAGUAGAAGAUAAGGAAGAUGGGGUUUGGGGUUUCGGAUUUUAGGGAUUUAUACGUAAUACUCGUUAAUUCCUCGUAAGCCAAAAUCGUCGUAAGGUUGUCGUAAGGCCACGAGGAGUUUACGACGAAAUUAAAAAAAAUAAAGAAAGCGGGGCACGCUAAUUCCACGCAAGCCAAAAUCGUCGUAAGGUUGUCGUAAGGCCACGAGGAGUUUACGACAAAAUUAAAAAAAAAAUAAAGAAAGCGGGGCACGCUAAUUCCACGUAAGACUCUCUGAGUGAAUGAAAAUAAGGAAUUGUGGUUUGGAAUGAAAAUAAAGAUAGGGUUUGGAAUAUAUGAAGUAGAAGAUAAGGAAUAUGGGGUUUGGGGUUUGGGGUUUCGGGUUUUAGGGAUUUAAAUGGAAUACUCGUUAAUUCCUCGUAUGUUAACGUCGAACUUACGACGAAUUCCUCGUAAAUACCACGUAGGACAGAUUCGUCGUAAAUACCACGUAGGACAGAUUCGUCGUAAAUACCACGUAGGACAGAUUCGUCGUAAAUACCACGUAGGACAGAUUCGUCGUAAAUACCACGUAGGAGAGAUUCGUCGUAAAUACCACGUAAAGUAAAUGAUGAACGCGGCCCACUUUAAUUCCACGUAGGACGGAAUCGUCGUAAACACCUCGUAACCAAAAUCGUCGUAAACACCUCGUACCGUAAAAACUAGAAAAAAAAAAAGAAGAAAAAAUAUACUGGAUUUACAUGUGGCA
rnacentral:lncRNA from 1 species